GAUGAACGCUGGCGGCGUGCCUAAUACAUGCCAGUCGAGCGAACGGACGAGAAGCUUGCUUCUCUGAUGUUAGCGGCGGACGGGUGAGUAACACGUGGAUAACCUACCUAUAAGACUGGGAUAACUUCGGGAAACCGGAGCUAAUACCGGAUAAUAUUUUGAACCGCAUGGUUCAAAAGUGAAUGACGGUCUUUCUGUCACUUAUAGAUGGAUCCGCGCUGCAUUAGCUAGUUGGUAAGGUAACGGCUUACCAAGGCAACGAUGCAUAGCCGACGUGAGAGGGUGAUCGGCCACACUGGAAGUGAGACACGGUCCAGACUCCUACGGGAGGCAGCAGUAGGGAAUCUUCCGCAAUGGGCGAAAGCCUGACGGAGCAACGCCGCGUGAGUGAUGAAGGUCUUCGGAUCGUAAAACUCUGUUAUUAGGGAAGAACAGAUGUGUAAGUAACUGUGCACAUCUUGACGGUACCUAAUCAGAAAGCCACGGCUAACUACGUG
rnacentral:rRNA from 1 species